rnacentral:rRNA from 1 species
UGCGACCUCAGGUUAGGUGAGAGUACCCGCUGAAUUUAAGCAUAUUAAUAAGCGGAGGAAAAGAACU